UCUCCGUAGGUGAACCUGCGGAGGGAUCAUUACUGAGUGAGGGCCUCCGGUCCGACCUCCAACCCUUUGUGAACCAACACUGUUGCUUCGGGGGCGACCCGGCGCUUCGGCGCCAGGGGGUCCCCGCUGGUCCACACAACUCUGCAUCUUUGCGUCUGAGUAAUCAUUAAAUGAAACAAAACUUUCAACAACGGAUCUCUUGGUUCUGGCAUCGAUGAAGAACGCAGC
rnacentral:misc_RNA from 1 species